rnacentral:tRNA from 5 species
GGAUCGGUAGUUCAGUUGGUUAGAAUGCUGCCCUGUCACGGCAGAGGUCGCGGGUUCGAGUCCCGUCCGGUCCGCAA